AUACUUACCCAAUAACUAUCAUGAUCAGGAAGGUGUUUUUCCCUGGGCAAGUCCUUUUUGCAGUUUAGAUAUGCUAGUUCCUGUGAUUACCCCAAAUGUGAAGAACUCGUGCAUAAUUAGUGGUAGCCGGGGACUUUUU
rnacentral:snRNA from 12 species